rnacentral:tRNA from 1 species
CCCUAACUGACACAAAAUUAAACCCAUAAACCCAACCACCGCGUACAACAAAGAACAACAGACCCAAACCAAAC